rnacentral:rRNA from 1 species
AACGAACGCUGGCGGCAUGCCUAACACAUGCAAGUCGAACGAGACCUUCGGGUCUAGUGGCGCACGGGUGCGUAACGCGUGGGAACCUGCCCUUAGGUUCGGAAUAACUCCCCGAAAGGGGUGCUAAUACCGGAUAAUGUCUUCGGACCAAAGAUUUAUCGCCUUUGGAUGGGCCUGCGUUGGAUUAGCUAGUUGGUAGGGUAAAAGCCUACCAAGGCGACGAUCCAUAGCUGGUCUGAGAGGAUGAUCAGCCACACUGGGACUGAGACACGGCCCAGACUCCUACGGGAGGGAGCAGUGGGGAAUAUUGGACAAUGGGCGAAAGCCUGAUCCAGCAAUGCCGCGUGAGUGAUGAAGGCCUUAGGGUUGUAAAGCUCUUUUACCCGGGAUGAUAAUGACAGUACCGGGAGAAUAAGCUCCGGCUAACUCCGUG